rnacentral:rRNA from 1 species
UACGUAGGGUGCAAGCGUUGUCCGGAUUUAUUGGGCGUAAAGAGCUCGUAGGCGGUCUGUCGCGUCGGCUGUGAAAACUCGGGGCUCAACUCCGAGCUUGCAGUCGAUACGGGCAGGCUAGAGUUCGGCAGGGGAGACUGGAAUUCCUGGUGUAGCGGUGAAAUGCGUAGAGAUCCGGAAGAACACCGGUGGCGAAGGCGGUCUGCUGGGCCAAGACUGACGCUGAGGCGCGACAGCGUGGGGAGCAAACAGG